rnacentral:rRNA from 1 species
CCGCAACGAGCGCAACCCCUAUCUUUAGUUGCCAUCAGGUUGGNCUGGGCACUCUAGAGAGACUGCCGGUGACAAGCCGGAGGAAGGUGGGGAUGACGUCAAGUCCUCAUGGCCCUUAUGUCCUGGGCUACACACGUGCUACAAUGGCGGUGACAGUGGGAAGCUAGGUGGUGACACCAUGCUGAUCUCUAAAAGCCGUCUCAGUUCGGAUUGCACUCUGCAACUCGAGCGCAUGAAGGUGGAAUCGCUAGUAAUCGCGGAUCAGCAUGCCGCGGUGAAUACGUUCCCGGGUCUUGUACACAC